AUUGAACGCUGGCGGCAUGCCUUACACAUGCAAGUCGAACGGUAACGGGCCUUCGGGUGCCGACGAGUGGCGCACGGGUGAGUAAUACAUCGGAACGUGCCCGAUCGUGGGGGAUAACGAGGCGAAAGCUUUGCUAAUACCGCAUACGAUCUACGGAUGAAAGCAGGGGACCGCAAGGCCUUGCGCGGACGGAGCGGCCGAUGGCAGAUUAGGUAGUUGGUGGGAUAAAAGCUUACCAAGCCGACGAUCUGUAGCUGGUCUGAGAGGAUGAUCAGCCACACUGGGACCGAGACACGGCCCAGACUCCUACGGGAGGCAGCAGUGGGGAAUUUUGGACAAUGGGCGCAAGCCUGAUCCAGCCAUGCCGCGUGCAGGAUGAAGGCCUUCGGGUUGUAAACUGCUUUUGUACGGAACGAAAAGCCUUCUUUUAAUACAGGAGGGUCAUGACGGUACCGUAAGAAUAAGCACCGGCUAACUACGUG
rnacentral:rRNA from 1 species